rnacentral:rRNA from 1 species
GACGAACGCUGGCGGCGUGCCUAAUACAUGCAAGUAGAACGCUGAAGAGAGGAGCUUGCUCUUCUUGGAUGAGUUGCGAACGGGUGAGUAACGCGUAGGUAACCUGCCUUGUAGCGGGGGAUAACUAUUGGAAACGAUAGCUAAUACCGCAUAACAAUGGAUGACACAUGUCAUUUAUUUGAAAGGGGCAAUUGCUCCACUACAAGAUGGACCUGCGUUGUAUUAGCUAGUAGGUGAGGUAACGGCUCACCUAGGCGACGAUACAUAGCCGACCUGAGAGGGUGAUCGGCCACACUGGGACUGAGACACGGCCCAGACUCCUACGGGAGGCAGCAGUAGGGAAUCUUCGGCAAUGGGGGCAACCCUGACCGAGCAACGCCGCGUGAGUGAAGAAGGUUUUCGGAUCGUAAAGCUCUGUUGUAAGUCAAGAACGAGUGUGAGAGUGGAAAGUUCACACUGUGACGGUAGCUUACCAGAAAGGGACGGCUAACUACGUGCCAGCAGCCGCGGUAAUACGUAGGUCCCGAGCGUUGUCCGGAUUUAUUGGGCGUAAAGCGAGCGCAGGCGGUUUGAUAAGUCUGAAGUUAAAGGCUGUGGCUCAACCAUAGUUCGCUUUGGAAACUGUCAAACUUGAGUGCAGAAGGGGAGAGUGGAAUUCCACGUGUAGCGGUGAAAUGCGUAGAUAUAUGGAGGAACACCGGUGGCGAAAGCGGCUCUCUGGUCUGUAACUGACGCUGAGGCUCGAAAGCGUGGGGAGCGAACAGGAUUAGAUACCCUGGUAGUCCACGCCGUAAACGAUGAGUGCUAGGUGUUGGAUCCUUUCCGGGAUUCAGUGCCGCAGCUAACGCAUUAAGCACUCCGCCUGGGGAGUACGACCGCAAGGUUGAAACUCAAAGGAAUUGACGGGGGCCCGCACAAGCGGUGGAGCAUGUGGUUUAAUUCGAAGCAACGCGAAGAACCUUACCAGGUCUUGACAUCCCGAUGCUAUUUCUAGAGAUAGAAAGUUACUUCGGUACAUCGGUGACAGGUGGUGCAUGGUUGUCGUCAGCUCGUGUCGUGAGAUGUUGGGUUAAGUCCCGCAACGAGCGCAACCCCUAUUGUUAGUUACCAUCAUUCAGUUGGGCACUCUAGCGAGACUGCCGGUAAUAAACCGGAGGAAGGUGGGGAUGACGUCAAAUCAUCAUGCCCCUUAUGACCUGGGCUACACACGUGCUACAAUGGUUGGUACAACGAGUUGCGAGUCGGUGACGGCAAGCUAAUCUCUUAAAGCCAAUCUCAGUUCGGAUUGUAGGCUGCAACUCGCCUACAUGAAGUCGGAAUCGCUAGUAAUCGCGGAUCAGCACGCCGCGGUGAAUACGUUCCCGGGCCU